AGUGUAUUUGUGUGUGUGUGUGUGCGCGCGCGCUUCACGUCAAAGUUUUGUUACUUUUUCUACCCCUCCCCCACACCCUCAAGUGUGUGUGUGCGCGCUCUGUACACUUGCUAUGCUCAUGUUGGCUUGUGUUCACGUCCUGCAAGUCAACAAGGAGAGUGGAAAAAUAUUUGACGUAAACACUUCCCAAGUGAGGAAAAUAAAGUCCCGUUAGCUUAUCGAUCCCAAUAGCCAGCGAGGAUCUUUACUGCCUGGCGUGCUUUGGGAUUAUCACAUUUGCCAAAAAUAAACAACCCUAAAUCUACUAGUGUAAACAAACGACAUUUGCUACCUCUGUACGCUAUUGUGACCCAUGGCCGGAGUUAUUUUUCAAUUCCCCGUAACACCCACACCCCACCCCCCGCUGAUUUUGAAUUGUCACGAAAGCUUCCAAUCUGAUGUUUUUUUUACCCCCAUGAACAAGGUGGAGUCGGGGGAAGGUUGGGGUCAAAGAGGCAUAGAGUGCACAGUGUUUACGUCCCUCGUGACCUUGAACAGCACCUACGCAGUAAGUUAUCCCCUUUAGAGCUUUGUACAUACCCGUCCGUCUCUGAUAUGAAAUGUCCUGAUCUGGGAUGAGAAAGAAAGAGAGAUAUGUCGUCAUAGAGCUACAUCGACCAGUGAACGGACCGCAUACUUUGGCCGGAUUCUAGCUCCGCUGACUUAUUUUUUAUUGCGUGUCAAGGAAAUGAGUGAAGUAAGCAAACAGACCAACACGCUAGCAGUCAACUCUCCAGAAGAGUGCACUCAAAACACCCUGCUGUCUUGCAUUGGACACGAACCAGUUCUAGUUUCCAGAAGGCCUGUAACUCAUUCUGUUCCUUCGUCAACAAACAUGUUGUCCUAAUGAGUUGGGAUUUUUUUUUUAGGGGGGAGGGGGGUUCAACAGCAUAAUAGUUGACUGGCCGACCGUUUUUGAGUGCACGAGACGCAGAUGAUUAAAACGCGAUACCCAUACCCCUAAAACCCCGGCACAGGGACAGAGAUCUUGCCCUCACGUGCUAAACAAGGCACUUGACUCCAGUAUUCAGAAACAGAACUUAGGACAUUGUUGAAACAGUGCGUAGUGACGACAUAGUGGCAACAGUGCGUAAUGACGACAUUAUUGGAAUAGUGCAAGGUGACGACAUUGUUAAGGGAGGAGGAACCUAUAAAUGACGACAUUGUUAUAACAGAAAGAUAGUGACGACAUUGUUGGGGAAAAAAACGAAGCUAUAAAUAACAGCUAUAAGAGAAAGGUAGUGACGACAUUGCUGGAACAGAUCUAUCAGUGACGUCAUGUUGGGGACAUGGUGACGAAGUUUGCCCUGCCUUCAAGAAUGUUCUCAAGUUUGGCGAGUGAACAACCCCCUUAUCCUAUCAAGUGUUGUGCAAGGAGAUAUACAUCACACAGAAAUCUGUCCACCUAAACAAAUGAAGACAGCGACUGGACACGUUAUUUGUUGCGGUAAUUAUUCAAGAUGCUCUCAAACCGAACCCAAACAACAUCUUGCCAUAGUAAUGGUUCCCCACUUUGAAGACAGCUGUUUACGUGAAAGACGAAGUUGAAAACCAACUGACAUGGAGGUCACGAGGGUUUGAGGUUUGUGCUUGUUGCCUGCGCAGGGACUCGAAGACUUGAGGCCUGAAUGUAGCCAGGAUGUUGACAAAACUCAAUCUAAUGCUGGCGGCGAGGCGAGCAAAGAAAUAAAAUAUUAAUGGUGAACGUGGGGUUGGGUUUUCCAACAAUGGUCGACACAGCUGCAUGAAAAUGUGAUCCACACCAGCUUCAGUUGCUCAGCGUGUGUCGUUGCUACCUAGCAUCCGGUUUGAUGUUGCAAUGUGAAUGUGAGACGAUGAGGAGGAGGAGAACGAUGAGAUCGUCAACGAUGUCGUCGUCCACUUAUUUUUGAUUAGGAGGUGGGUCUAUCAUCUAUUCAGUCAUAUACACAAGAGAAUUUCAGGCAGUGGAGUCUGAGAAGGAGAAGGAACGCCUGCCGAAUUUUCUUGUCAUGAAAACCUUUCACAAAAUUAAAUAUUACAAUAAGGCGAAUGUAAAUUCCCACUAUGGAAAUUCUUUCAGACAUUGCACACGCGAACACAGAGAGGGACCGCACCAGCAUGCGGAUCACAGUCAGGGAAAUUAGAGUCAGAGCGAGAAUCUUUCCCCACUUACUACUCUACCACCUCUAAUGAUAACACCUGUCUCAGCAUCCACCAUCCGUACCUCCGCAAUGUUAUUUACUCCUGUUUACCAGAUCACUCUGAUGUCUGUUCCCUGCACACUCACGUCUAAAAUGCGCGGACAUCCUCUCAGACCAACUUAAAUUUUUUUUUCUUCCCUUCUAUCACAUCCUGUUCGAGGCUGAUCCGAACCUUUUUCUCGGAACUGAUUACACGCUGACUGACCCACGGAAAAACACACGCGCGCUCCGCCUGCGCCCUCCCGGGAUCCCAGCUUCCCAGUCAUGUUCUUCUGACUGGUUUUGUUUGUACGAACACCUCGGGGGGGAGAGAGUCUUGCCACCAGGUGCGAGCCUGACACUUUGACUCACUUCCUCCUGCUCACCGUAAUUCCUCCCAAGCCGCCCUCUUGCCCACGCGUGACGUCAUCGCAAUUUCCUUCCGGGUGAUGCACUGGUCCACAGAGGUUUCUCCCUGUAAACAAAUUAGUUGCAGCUGUACUCUGUGUGACAGGAAAGGUGUUUUUUAGGCUGAUGUUGAAAAAUGAACAGUUUGUUUUUUAUUGGUUUGUUUGUGUGGUGUUUGUUUGUUUUGUUUUUUUAGUCUAAGCGGUAUGUGCAGCUUGGCGUUUGAAACCUCCGGACACACAGUUGAUGGCUAAAAUAAACUACUGCAGAGUGUUAUUCAGAUAAUUUGAGACAAAUACUUGUUUGCAGGCAUGUUGACCUUCUAUACUUCUAACCUUAAUUCUCUUACUCCAAACUUUUAUCUCUCCAUGCAAGCUUUCUCUCUUCCUCUUUCUCUUACGCGCGCGUGCACAAAAUAUGCAUACACAUAAACACACUUUUUCUCGUUCUUUCUCUCUAUGUCUACUAUUUUA